rnacentral:rRNA from 1 species
GGAUCCGACUAAGCCAUGCGAGUCGAGAGGGUUCGGCCCUCGGCAGACUGUUCAGUAACACGUGGAUAACCUACCCUCAGGCGGAGAAUAACCUCGGGAAACUGAGAAUAAUACUCCAUAGAUCUAGGAUGCUGGAAUGCACCUAGAUUGAAAGCUCUGGCGCCUAAGGAUGGGUCUGCGGACUAUCAGGUUGUAGUCAGGGUAAAGACCUGACUAGCCUACGACGGAUAUGGGUUGUGAGAGCAAUAGCCCAGAGACGAUAUCUGAGACACGAUAUCGGGCCCUACGGGGCGCAGCAGGCGCGAAAUCUUCACAAUGUGCGAAAGCACGAUGAGGGGAUCCCAAGUGCUGGCACGUAAGUGUCAGCUGUUUCUUUGUCUAAAAAACAAAGAGAGUAAGAGCUGGGUAAGACGGGUGCCAGCCGCCGCGGUAAUACCUGCAGCUCAAGUGGUGGCCGCUAUUAUUGGGCCUAAAACGUCCGUAGCCUGUUUAGUAAAUGCUUGGGUAAAUUGUGUAGCUUAACUAUACGAAUACCGGGUAGACUGCUAAACUUGGGACCGGGAGAGGCUAGAGGUACUCCUAGGGUAGAGGUGAAAUUCUGUAAUCCUAGGGGGACCACCAGUGGCGAAGGCGUCUAGCUAGAACGGGUCUGACGGUGAGGGACGAAGCCCUGGGGCGCGAACCGGAUUAGAUACCCGGGUAGUCCAGGGUGUAAACGCUGCUUGCUUGAUGUUAGUUGGGCUCCGAGCCCAACUAGUGUCGGAGAGAAGUU